UAUUUUGUGAUUGGCUUUGUCUUUCUUGGU
rnacentral:piRNA from 1 species